AUUCUCUGCUGAUGACUGGCACUGGGCUCUGAGUCCUCCUGGAGACAGAUGUGCACCUUCGGCCCUGACAAGCUGAAGUUUCUGAGGAGAAA